UAUCCGUAGGUGAACCUGCGGAGGGAUCAUUACAGAGUUCAUGCCCUACCGGGUAGAUCUCCCACCCUAUGUUAUCAUUACUUUGUUGCUUUGGCGGGCCGUUAGGCUCCGGCCCGACUACCGGCCCCGGCUGGUAAGCGCCCGCCAGAGGACCCAAAACCCUGAAUAUUAGUGUCGUCUGAGUACUAUAUAGUAGUUAAAACUUUCAACAACGGAUCUCUUGGUUCUG
rnacentral:misc_RNA from 1 species